rnacentral:rRNA from 1 species
GAUGAACGCUGGCGGCGUGCCUAAUACAUGCAAGUCGAGCGAACAGAUAAGGAGCUUGCUCCUUUGACGUUAUCGGCGGACGGGUGAGUAACACGUGGUUAACCUACCUAUAAGACUGGAAUAACUCCGGGAAACCGGGGCUAAUGCCGGAUAACAUUUAGAACUGCAUGGUUCUAAAGUGAAAGAUGGUUUUGCUAUCACUUAUAGAUGGACCCGCGCCGUAUUAGCUAGUUGGUAAGGUAACGGCUUACCAAGGCAACGAUACGUAGCCGACCUGAGAGGGUGGACGAGCAGACGGGAACUGAGACAGGGUCCAGACACCGACGGGAGGCAGCAGUAGGGAAUCUUACGCGAUGGGCGAGAGCCUGACGGAGCAACGCCGCGUGAGGGAUGAAGGUGUUCGGAUCGGAGAACUCUGUUAUUAGGGAAGAACAAAUGUGUAAGUAACUGUGCACGUCUUGACGGUACCUAAUCAGAAAGCCACGGCUAACUACGUG